rnacentral:lncRNA from 1 species
GCUUCUUCAAAGGUAACUGGUUCACAAUCAGCAAAUAGACAAAGAAGAGUUAGGUCCUCUAACCUUUCAGUGUCUUCAUAAAUGUCUUCCAAACUUCUUGUGCGUUGCUCGCUCCUUUCAUUCAGAAACGAUGGUGGAGAGUCUUCUUGAACUGCUGUUGGCGAGGUAGGUGGAGUAGUUAGCUCUGGGCAUCCUCUGCUGUAGAUCUUUGUUCUUCUUCUUCGGUUGGAAUAAUGGAAUUAAAGUUCUCGUGAGAACCAAAAUUCCAUUCUCCUUCUUCAUCAAACUCCAUGUACCGACUUAUCACAAGCUUGUUAGUAUCUGGAUUAUAUAAUUUGUAGCCUUUGGAGUUG